CCUACGGGAGGCAGCAGUGGGGAAUAUUGGACAAUGGGCGAAAGCCUGAUCCAGCAAUGCCGCGUGAGUGAUGAAGGCCUUAGGGUUGUAAAGCUCUUUUACCAGGGAUGAUAAUGACAGUACCUGGAGAAUAAGCUCCGGCUAACUCCGUGCCAGCAGCCGCGGUAAUACGGAGGGAGCUAGCGUUGUUCGGAAUUACUGGGCGUAAAGCGUACGUAGGCGGUUAUUCAAGUCAGAGGUGAAAGCCUGGAGCUCAACUCCAGAACUGCCUUUGAAACUAGAUAGCUAGAAUCUUGGAGAGGUGAGUGGAAUUCCGAGUGUAGAGGUGAAAUUCGUAGAUAUUCGGAAGAACACCAGUGGCGAAGGCGACUCGCUGGACAAGUAUUGACGCUGAGGUACGAAAGCGUGGGGAGCAAACAGGAUUAGAUACCCUGGUAGUCCACGCCGUAAACGAUGAUAACUAGCUGUUCGGGCUCUACGAGCUUGAGUGGNGCNGCUACGCAUUAAGUUAGUCCGUCCGUCGGGAGGUACGGUCGCGAGAGUUAAACUACGAAAGAAGUUAGUAGCGUUGAGACGNGCGACGGACGACGACGAGGGAGGAGG
rnacentral:rRNA from 1 species